AGAAGGCUGUCUUCUAGGAAGGCCGUCGUAUUUCGCUCAAUAGACGUUGACAUGAUUGAUUUUUUUCAUAAAAUACGACAUUUUUGUAUUUACUGAAGCAUCAGACAUCUCAAUAUUCCACUUUAAAAUUCUGCGAUCACACAGUUGCUUUGCCGCCGCAAUUGCUUUAAAUAACACUAGCACUCUUGAUCUCGAUACUAAGAAACCUGAUGCUUCAAGACAAUGCCAUCGUCGACACGGAGAUGCAAGCGAAAUACUUUAAGGUGUUAAGCGGGAUGAAUGAUAGUUAGCUAAAUGUAGGGAAACAACAUUAAAGGAAUUUUAAAGAGCUUACUUUCCCUGGGAAAAAACUCCAUUGUUGCGGUUGAAACAAUUGGAGCUGUGACCGACUGCAGUGGUCUAGGGAUGAAUGGGGAAGCCACAGGAUGUGUGCGGGUCAUUGCCUGGGGUCUUCGUCCCAGAGCCCUUUUCCCAGCUCGCCACAAUGAACACGCACAAGGUAGAGGCUCGGCGGGGUCACAGGGCAACCCCCAUUGUGCCGUACUUCAGAACAGAAAAAAAAACAUUUAUUAAUCAGCACUGACCAGAAGCCCCUCGGCCAAAAGAGAAGACUACAACGGAGUGAGAGAAAAAAAAAAAGCAAUGCUUCAUCAGCCACUCCAGAUGCGAGAGCUAUCAUUAGGGCCACUUGUUCGGCUAGCAAAAGUUUGUAAUAAAACAUUUUACAAGUUAAAAGGGAUUCCUUCUCACACAGAGGAUGAAGAAGAACGCCGCGUCAAGAUACAUCGUGUUAUAUUCAACUGUACCUAUAUUUUGGGCUGUUGUAUGGGAGGUCAUUCCUUACCUGAUGUCUUCCCAGCAGGUCAAAAUGUUUCUAUCGCUCUGGAGUCAGCUGCUUCUACUGUAUCUUUACACCUUUUACUUAACCCGGACACUAACAGUCAAUGUUGUAUUGUAGAAUAAAUUGAUUAGCAUUCAUCAAUCGACAUAAAAAGCUACAGAACUGUAAUAACCUCAGAAGCAACAUUGAUUAUAUUACUUUGGAAGGCAAACUACAGUACAUGCACAUUUAAACGUUGAAUUUUCUGAAAUUUUAUUACUGUACAUGUUGUGGCCAUUUGAAAAUAAACUCCUUUGUUUCACAAACUGUAUCUGUAUUUUGCGAAAGUGGUAUUCUAAAGUUUGAGAACCAUUUUGUUGUAAACCAUGGGGUAUUUGGUCUUAACAUUUUAAUUGUACGUUGAGAGAUCCACACGAGAGUCACCUUCAGUAGCUUGUUAGUAGUGUAUCGGGUAACAACCGAGGCUUCUAUGUCUGAAAUAAACAACAUGUUAACAACUCAUCAGAACAGUUUUAGCGUUUUUUAACGUACAAAAUAUGCCGGUUUGUUUCCUAAUUUAUGUAAAGAGCUGGUGGUUUUUCUGCAUCAUUUCCAAAACAUGAAAUAUUUUUUUUUAGGUGUGGGAGGAUGAUGAUGAUGAAAACUACCCAUUACAUUUAUUAAAUACCAAUGUUAGAUCUUUGAAUGUCAUAUAAUAUUUAUAUUAUAUUAUGUGAUAUCAGUAUGAUAUUAAUUCAUGUCUGUAUAUGUUGUCUAAAUAUUUUGGUCAACAUGCUAUAUAUAUAGGACAGUGAUUUAUCAUGUUCUAUUUCAUCUGGAUGUAAUGUGUUCUCCUGCACUGAAAUUGUGUGUAAUACAUGGUGCCCUUGUAGGGCGGGCAAUGCAUUAAUAUUCAUGGAAUUGAAAGUUUGCCAUUCUGAUGUCUAAAACACUUACUGAUUUUAUAUGAAUUCAAAGUGAAAUUCAUAAUGUUUGCCAGAGAUUUAAAUGCAUUAUUCAGGAGCAUGCUUUAUUAAUGACAAAGGAAAGGUCCACUGUUGUGUUUUAUUCAGACCUUUUAUAAAGACUUUAGCUAUUAAAGAAUUAUCAUGAAUUAUUCAUUUUGGAAUGAUGGUACUUUUAGUUUAUGUAAACAUCAUCAUCAUCAUAGCCUUCAUCAUAAUCAUUAUCAUCAUCACUAUUCUGUACUGAUUUAGUGCCACAUGAAGUCAUGCCUUCGGCUAAUCAUAUAUUGUACAUAUGCAUUACAUAUAUCAUAUACAUUAUACAUACAAGAAGUAGAAAUGACAUCUAAGGAAAGACAGAUUGUUUGAAUGGCCAUAGCUGAUCAUUUCCCAAGCAGCAUUCAACUUCCUGGUGGUUCCAAUUUCACACCAAAUCUCAUCACAUCAAAAGAACAUAUUUUCUCAAGAGGCAGAAACAUUCUGGUGGCGAAACCAUUGAAAAUGGGCCUUAAACAAGAAAGUCUCAGACGGCGCGCCCUGAGAGAGCGUGUAGUGUCGACAGGGAUGCUUUGAGAACACACAGUACUGUAUAUAAGAAGUGAAACAGGAGUUAGGCAUUGUCAAAAUGUGGUACUCCGCUUACAAAAGUGCAGGUAGGAGGAUGACACGACGGCCUGGAGCAUCUUAAAGAAGGCACAGUAAAAAUAAAAGGCAUACAGUAUUUGUGAAAGAGCAAAAAAGAGCACCACAGAAGUUCAGUUAGAUUUACAGGUGAACCCGUAAUUUCCCUUGGUAAUGCUCAUAUACUGUACUGUAUUAAACUGCUUGAGAAUCUGAGGUGUUGUGCAUAGAUUCAUGUAUUCUUCCUGUAGUCGUUUGCAGUGUGAGAAAUAACCAAUAAAUAAUUAAGGAGAUUAAGUUUAUGGAAUCCUUUUCUCUCACUGUUUAUACAGUAUGUUUAUUUUGAUGUAUUUUGUUCUCAUUGUCAUGUAUACAGUAUUCAAAAAGUACCUUGCUUUUCAACUUCAUCAUGCUGACAUUGAUUACUAUUCUAGAGAAUGGAUACUUUUGAUUUAAUGGCAAGACAUGGCCAUGGACAUUUACAAAAACAAGGAUUGUUUUAAUUAGAAUAUAAAAUGAAUAAAAUCUGGUGUCCUCAACCAAGAUUCUUAGUUUGACAUGUUAGAGACAGUGUGAUUUGAAUGUAUUUUCAUUAUAAU
rnacentral:lncRNA from 1 species